GCAAGGACGCUGCCUGUCUGUCUACAGUCCGCCCCACCCACUCCCUCUUUGUUCUGCUUUCCCUCUCUUCCCUCCUCGCCAAAACCUCUGCCUGCACUGAGAGGGUCUUCUGGACCUUCUCUUCUUGAAGCUAAGCAUGUCAAGCAAGCCUGGGAUUGCCUGCCAUGGCAGGCCUGUGUAACACUGGAAAGAUGAAAAAGAACCUGC